GCGGCUACGGCUCAGCGACGGCGAGUUCCUUCCCAAUCCCCGUCAAUUAGGGCGAAGAAAUCUCCAGUAUAUCUAAUGGUACAAUAUUGGCCUUUCUCUCUGUUUUUUUGUUUGUUCAGGUGUGUUGGGGAAGAAGAAUACGCUGCGACAGACAGACCAUCUGCAAAACACCUUCCUUGCUUGCUAGGGGUUCCUAAAAUCAUGAAGAAGAAUACGCUGCGACAGACAGCGUUCUAGGGGUUCCUAAAAUCAUGAAAAGCUUAUUAUUUCUUCAGUCAGUGUAUCUUCUGACUGUAAAUGUGCCAAAGUGCUUAUCUCUGACAAUUUCUGUACAAAUCUUGCUGUUUCUGGCUGUUAUCAGAUAGCUGACAUAUUUCUUCAGGUCUUCCUUUUUUUAAGUGCUCAAUUAAUAAGGCUCAUUGAACUACUGCAAAUAACAGCGUCGAAGUGGUGCAGCAGUGCAUAUCAGGUCUACCCAGCAUCUGAAAAUAAAAAAGUGUCCUCCUAGGAGAAGGGAGUAAAAUGUGUACGUGUAUCAGGCAAUGUUAUUCUAGACGAGAGGAGCAAAUUGUGUCAAUGAGGAAUUGACGAAAAUAUUUGAUUAUAAUAUCGAGGUUAGGUUCCAUGGUCUUUUGGUCACAUUAUUGAUCGCACUGAAACUGCUUAUAUGUUAUUGGAGGAUCAAGACUUCGGCUUGACUUCCGCAGGUAACGAAUUUAUUCACCACUUCAUAUGUUUCUUGCUCUCUGAAUUUCUAUUUCGUCUCCAAAAUUUAAAUCAUUAUUUCUGCAAAUCAAUGAAAAUGUGUGGUUUCUCUGACAAAUGAAUAAUGCUCUUAUCUAUGUUUCUGGACUGAUUUUUAUUUUUACCAGCUUGACUUCCGCAGGUAACGAAUUUAUUUACCACUUCAUAUGUUUCUAGCUCUCUGAAUUUCUAUUUCCUCUCCAAAUUUUAAAUCAUUAUUUCUGCAAAUCAAUGAAAAUGUGUGGUUUCUCUGACAAAUUAGUAAUGCUCUUAUCUAUGUUUCUGGACUGAUUUUUAUUUUUACCAUGCUUUCAUAACUAGAAUAUUCUUCCCAGGUUAUUCUUACCAAUACAACAUCUUUUUGUAUGCAAAUCAACGAAUUGAUCUCAGAAUUAUUGGUGCAGCGCAAGAGGUGGUGUGCCAAUCGCAUCUCAGAGAUAAUUGGGCGUCCACCGUCAUUGGCGAGUUAGGAUGCCAAGUUGAUCAACUACCCACAAAAAUCACAAUUUUUUUUCAAUCUUUAGCUCUGUUUCUGAACUCAUUGAAUUUACCAAAGUGCUCCUAAUCCAUAACGUGGUCUGCUCUUGACGUAACUAUUCCUAUACGGAGUAGAGCCCCGGCAUGGGUGUUGUUCAUCCCUACAGCCACGGCAUCAAGGUAUUCUACGGUAUGCCUGCCACCUCCAUACACAGGUCUACCCAAUUAAAACUUUUAUGUGAAUAGGAGGUUCAAUAAACAGAUGUUUUUUCACGUCAUGCAUUAGCCAGUGUAGUUACUUGCUCUCUCCUACAGAUGAUUUGGAUGUUCUAUCUUGGUUCUUCUUAAUACAGGCUGCAUCUACUCUUUUGUCUGCAUUGUAUAUGUUAGUAUUUUGUGUAUCGGCAAGUGGAGGUGUGAUGCAUUUUCUCUAGAUAUCCUCCAAUUCAUUUGACAUUUAACUUUAUAUUUCUGAAAAUCAUGCCUAAUAUGUUAUAUAAUCUUUAUUUUGUUUUAUCUGAUAGUCAGAUUCUAGACCUAAUAAUGAAAAAACAAGUUAGCUGCUUGGAGUGAUUUAGUUGUAUAGCUUUUACUCACAGGUUAUUUAACAUUAGUGUGUGGUUGCAAAGCAGUAUGCAAUUGUUUUCAACUUAGUUUUUCAAUCCUUUUCAUGUUCUGGGAGCACCCAAGUUGUAGCGGUGUUACAAAGGCGCGUGUCUUCAUUGUACAAAGGUAUAUUCAUUUUCCUCCUAUAUCGCCCUCAAAGUUUUGAGCUGUAUUGCUCUAACUAAAUGUACCGUCCUAUACAAAAUAUGCACACCACUUUAAGAAUUUAUGGUUGCUAACCUUAAUCACUACAUAACAUGGUCGGUACAAUUUCCGUAGCUUCAGAAAAACUAUGAGCAGGUCUCUCCAUUGUUUUUUACAAUUUUCAGACUCACUGCUACUUCUUGCUACUAUACUGCUCAGCAGCCCUUAGGUACAUUUUUUUCCAGUUGAAAAUUCACGGGUUAGCAUUUUAUUCUAAAUAAUUUAGUUCCUUUACUGAACAUGUGUGUAACUCAAUCUUUGGUUCUUCUGAUGAACAUAAAGUUAAUUAUCAGUCCAUUGUAUCUCAUGAAGAAGCGAGACAGACAGAGAAAGAGAGUCAGACCAAACAUAGGCGUAGGUACAUAAAUUCCCUAAUUGAUGAAUUAUGCAUUUUAUGUUUUCUCGAUCUCACGACUAUUCUGCAAUUGAGUACUCUUUCUAUCUUACUCUGGCACAUCUAGAAAGAUAGAAAUGACCCGGGGAAAGACACUAUCUAAUUUAUCAUGUAUAAUUCUAAUAUAUUGCAGGUACCAUUGUCCUCUGGACAUUUUCUUCACUGAUGCAUCUCUUUCUCAAUAUCAAGCUGCAGGUCUUGGGAUUUCAUAUUUGUGCUACAACACCAUACAUCUCUGUAUGUAUUGAAGUGCAAGCUCAUAUUCUCUCUGCCAUCUUUAUAGCUGAUUCGUUCAUAUGAUUUUUCAAUUUAUUCACAAGUAAUUCCUCAAGAUCGUGCACCAUUUUCUUAUUUAUUCGAACAUAAUGAAAAAUAUUUUAGUGUGCA